UACGUAGGGUGCAAGCGUUGUCCGGAAUUAUUGGGCGUAAAGGGUGCGUAGAUGGCCUGAUAAGUUAGCAGUGGGAAAUCGAGGCUCAACCUCGUGGAAGCUGGUAAUACUGUCAGGCUCGAGUGCAGGAGAGGUUAACGGAACUCCAUGUGGAGCGGUAAAAUGUGUAGAUAUAUGGAAGAACACCAAUAACGGCGAAGGCAGUUAACUAUUCUGUUACUGACAUUGAGGCACGAAAGCGUGGGGAGCAAAACGG
rnacentral:rRNA from 1 species